rnacentral:lncRNA from 10 species
GUGUGUUAUUUUUAUUUCUAGUUAAGUUUUAUCUGAUCAAUGUAAGGAAUGCACGAAGAUUCACUGAUGCCACAGGGAGAUCAAUUUACAUCACAAAAGCAGUUAGACAUUGCUACAUCUGUUAUUUUGCCAGGAAUUCCCCCAAGUACAACUUUUGCUAGACGGUCUUUCCUGAAACCAUCUGAAAUCAUGAGUCAGUAUGUGCCAGCUGUAUUUAAGACCAAAGGCUUAAUGUAUCCACAUCUGGGGUAGGAGUCAGAUGUAAAACAAGCCCAACAUUGCCUUGGAAGUUCUAUAGGCAAUGGACUCUUUCGUGGCUAGAUUUGAAUCCCACGUACAACAGAAGCUUCCAAAUGCGUUGUUUGGCCACAAUGAAGAAUCCUUAUUGAAAUAUCCCUUGAAUGGCAUAAUUGAAUAGACGUAAUUGCAAAGCUCUGCACCAUGUAAAAUUGUAAAUAGCACUGACAAAAUAAUUUAUGCUCAUUUAUGAUACAGUAGCUCAUUAUGGCUCCAAUUUUCAUUUCCUUCAUUAGCCAAGCUCAUCUGUUUCUCUAGUAGACAUUCCUUUUGUCUAUUAUCUACAAUCCUUUUCCCAGAGAAAUGGACUCUUGUGUAUGUAGAUGAGAAGAACUGAGCAUGAGAGGGUGCUGAUAACAGGGGAUAUGGGCACCGCAUAACCUAAACAGACUUUGACACCACAACAAAAGAGAGACAGAUACUGUAGAACAAUGACAGGUAAAUAUUGUAUUAGAAUAGUGCCUAUUUCUGCUUUGGUUUCAGGAAUGUCUUAUAAUAAAUGAAUAAAGUGGGUCACCACUACAAUUACAGCAAUAAUGAUAAUGAGUUCAAUAAUAACAUGAAAGAACAAGAAGCUUGCAAUCAAGUCCCAUAUUCCUUGUGGGUGUGUUUAAGGAAACCUCGUGUCAUAUAUUUGUUUUACUUUAAUUACUUCCCUCAUCUUCUAGUUUAUUACUUCUCUCCACCUUGUGUCAGGUUAGAAACCAUCACUUCCCUAUGUCUCCCAUCCUUAGCUGCAAUAUUCCUUCUUUAUCUUGAGCAGCAGGAGAUCUCUUUUCUUUCUUUCCACUUGUUCCAGCUGGAGACCAUGACAUAGAAGCCUCUCACUUUCUGGGAUUGUUGAAAUAAAACUGAACCCCUUCCCCACUUUACUUGUUCAACCCAGAGGAAGGUUGAAGAACUGUGGAGAUGGAGGAUGCUUACAGUAUUUAUUCUCCUUUUUCUAACUAGCAAGGUUAAUAUGUGAACAUUGUGGUCAUGUGUGACUUACUUGUAAGGUUCCUGGAUUCUCUGUGUUUGACAAGGUGAGAGGUGGCCCUAGUCCUCUAUACGAAUGGGCCCAAAGAAAAACUGUACUUACAGAGUCCAAUGUAGAGGAUAAUUUUACUAAAGGCCCAACCAUGUCUACCAAACCAGCAAUAGGAGCAAUGAAAUUGCUAUGUUUGUCAUAUUUUUAUAUAAAUAUGCCUCUUUUUAUUUCAAUUGGUUCCAAACUCAGAGAGGAAUGAGGUAGGGUUAACUGUUGCCCUCCUAAAACCCAAAAAUGAACAGUAACAUUAUAUUAAAAGGGUGGGUUGUUGGCUAAAUCAGGUUUUUAAAAGUAUAUUAAGACAGAGAACCUCAUUAAGGUUUGUGGUGUCGUGUUAAUGGCACAGAUAUGUUUUGCUCAUCCUCAUAUUUAAAACAUGCAAUAUUUAGUUGGUGGGUCUCAAUGUUUUGUCUGAAAAUUUUAUUAGUUAAGAAUAGUGUUCAUUUGAAUUAGAGGCUAAAAUUAGCUGCUUAUAUGAGAGAGAAGUUUGUUUCUCUCUCAUGAAAACAUCUUAAGAAAGAGGUCUGAAGCUGGAAUAGUGGUUUGGACCUAAAGGUCGUCAGGAACCCAGGCUUCUUCCAGAUUGUUGCUCUGCUUCUGACCUCCAUUCCUCUUCAUCUCAUUAGCAAGAUGGCAGUAACAGCUACAGACACCACCUCUACAUUAAAGUAUAUAGGAGAAGACAAAUAAAAAACUAGGUUGUAGUCCAUAGGAGGAGCAUGUCCUUGCUAUGCCUUGGAAGCUGUCAUGUGACACUUCUAGUUUCAUCUAGAAUUUAGUUAGUCACCUGACAUUCCCUUGACCCAAUGUGUACUGGGUAAUGUACGCUUUAUUCUGGACAGCUACCUAUGAAGUCAAAAAAAACACAAAUUCUAUUCUUAUGGGGGAAAUGCAUAGGGAGAAAACGAGUAGUCUCUUCCAUAGGAAAUACAGUUGCCUUUAAAUGGUGAAGACUAACAUUUAAUAUACCUGCAAUUCUGAGCUCAGGUCAAGGUGCACUAUAUUGUCUGUGGCAGUGUAGGUGCAUGACGGGACAUUUUCAGCAUCACAGCCAACUGUAUGGUUGUUCAGAUGGUAACAAAGACAUUGAAUAGAAGCAAAUGCACCUAAACUUCAGCAGCAAAACUUCUAAGCACCCUGCAGAGCCUCAGUUCCCUUCUUUCUAAAACCAGCAUAAUAUUAUGUAACAUUGUGAUUAUAAUAUUUGUCAUGCCUACUUUCAAAGGUGUUAUAAGAAUCAAAUGGCCAGGCGCAGUGGCUCACUCCUAUAAUCCCAGCACUUUGGGAAGCCAAGGCAGGCGGACCACCUGAGGUCAGGAGUUCGAGACCAGUCUGGCCAAUAUGGUAAAACCCAGUCUCUACUAAAAAUACAAAAAUUAGCCAGCUGUGGUGGUGGGCACCUGUAAUCCCAGCUACUCAGGAGGCUGAGACAGGAGAAUCGCUUGAACCUGGUAUGCAGAGGUUGCAGUGAGUGGAGAUCGCGCCAUUGCACUCCAGCCUGGGUGACAGAGCAAGACUCC